rnacentral:tRNA from 12 species
GGAGAGAUAGCGAAGAGGCUAAACGCGGCGGACUGUAAAUCCGCUCCUUCGGGUUCGGGGGUUCGAAUCCCUCUCUCUCCAUUU